CAGGAACCAAUACAGUCAGUCAGGAAAGCAACGGCUAGCUUUUUCAAACAGAAAUUUGCAUCCUGUAGCUCUUAACUCCAAAAAGUUUUGGGACACUAAGGUCCAUGGAGAAUAAGAGCACCUCCUCCCAGCUGCCCACUGCACUGAGGCUAGACAAGAUAGAACGGCCAAAGGGGGCGGUGUUGCAAUGUACUGCAAAGAUAGGACAGAACUCUGCAGGCUACUAUCCAGGUUACCCUUAUGAAGUGUUCCACUACUCAUCUGAAAUUGGGGAUUUGGACAAAACAUUUUUCAAAGGGUGGUAUCAUUUAUUUAAAUUUUUUCCCGUGAAGGACCGUCCGCUUGUCAGAGGAGAAACAGACCUACUUGACUCUGAUAUUAUCAAUGAAGCAGGCAGUGAUGGUGUGAUAUUGUUCAGGAUCUACCUGCCACCAGACUUUCCCCAUGUCCCGCAGCCACUAACCAUGGAGUUCUUUGGUCUCUUCAAGGCUGAGUUUUUCAGGGAUGCUUGUGACAUCCCCCCUCCUUAUAGGGACUUUGUCCUUAGGCACAUAGUUGCCACAGUGUUGAAGCAGAAAUAGGAUGCUUUUGAAACUGAGAGGACUGUGAAGGAUGGGUUCGGGAAGACAGGUAUCUUUCUAUUUGACUACCAUGUCAUGGCUAGGUCCGUAUGGUGUGGGAGGGAAAAGAUGAGGCCCGAGUUCGGUUCUGCUGGACCCUGUGAUGAUGGGCCAAAGAAAAAAUGACCCGAACUUGUGACAGACAAGGGUGACAGACAGUUCUUAUGACAAUAAGAAGGCAUUAAAGGCAAGUUCUCUAUAAUAAUUACUUUGAGUCUCGGAAUAUCCUGUGAUUAAUUUACACAAAAUUAAUAUAACGUCAUGUCACCAUUGUAUUGGUACAUGUUGAUCUUGUGAUUUACAGGUGGAAUCUGACGCCAAACCGGUGUUGCCUGGGUCGUUUCUGCCAGUUUCUCUGCCAUCAGAGUCUGUUAAGAAAGGAGAUAUUAGGUGUGGUGGUUAAAAAAUAGGAGGAAAUUAAGGAGGAGUUGAAUGUUGUCAGACAUAUCUGCAAUAGAUCCAAAUAUUUUGAACAAUGCCAAUAAUCAACAUUAGACGAUAAUUAUAUCAAGGAAAAACUGUCAUGCUCCACUUUUCAUACUGUAUACCCACCCUGAUCACAAGAGCCAGCUAUAGUUCAAUUGAAGUGCGUUUGGCAUUUCUAUUAUGUUAGCAGUUUGUAAUUAGAAGUUUUACUUUGAAGCCUUCAUCAUUUUUCUGUUCUGAUGACUUCAUUGCAGUAUUUUCCAAGAGAUCACAGCCAUGACUCCAUUGAGAGAUGGGAUGAGACUUCGGGCCCUGACGAUAUAUCGGAAGCGUCCCAGGAGUUAACAGAGGAAUCUUCAGACUUAUCAGACGGCCCUGAUGAAUCAAACAGAUUUAGAAUACGUUGACGAAGAAGAAGAGUUACCUGAAACUUCACAAGCUGUGAGAGGAAAAGCAUCUUCAAAGUCACUGCUGCCAGAGAAACAGUCACCUCAUGGUGAAACAUUUUUAAUUGCACUAUUGGGCCCAAUCUAAGUGUCUAACCACAGAAACACAGACUUGGUGGAUGAGUCUGGUGACAGCUCUGACGACGAGCCAUUGGUUAAGAUGAUCAGGAAGCUUCCAACAAACUGCCAGCUGAGCGAGAGAGUGAAGGCACUGCUGAAAUACACAGACAUGGCGGAUGUGACAAUGAAGCAAAUCUACAAUAGAGUGUUUGAGAGGUGCCCCCGGUAUGACCUGUCUAACAAGAAGGACAUCAUCAAGCAGACAGUGAAAGAGGGGAUUUCUUUACAACCCAGGGUUUUAAUCAAGCCAUAUUCAUAGCUUUGACAGAUAACAUUAUAAUCCAUGAUCUCAGGAGAACAUAGUUGAUAUCGUGACAGACUCGGGGAUUCCUGUAUAUGCCUUUCCAGGAUGUUUCAUUUAUAUUUUAUACAUACAUAUUCAGACUGUUUAAAUACUAUACAAUUUCAUACAACUUAUUUGUUUUACUUACCUAAGUUUUGUAAAUAAAGUAUUUAUUGUACUGUA
ensembl:lncRNA